GGCUGACCUACAGCUCCCAGACGACAGCCAUCCUGGGCGCACUGCUGGGCAGCUGCUGCCCCCAGCUCCAGGUCCUGGAGGUGAGCACCGGCAUCAACCGUAAUAGCAUUCCCCUUCAGCUGCCUGUCGAGGCUCUGCAGAAAGGCUGCCCUCAGCUCCAGCCUGGACCUUGCCCCCAGGUGCUGCGGCUGUUGAACCUGAUGUGGCUGCCCAAGCCUCCGGGACGAGGGGUGGCUCCCGGACCAGGCUUCCCUAGCCUAGAGGAGCUCUGCCUGGCGAGCUCAACCUGCAACUUUGUGAGCAACGAGGUCCUGGGCCGCCUACUCCACGGCUCUCCCAACCUGCGCUUACUGGAUCUUCGUGGCUGUGCGCGCAUCACGCCGGCUGGCCUUCAGGAUCUGCCAUGUCGGGAGCUGGAGCAGCUUCAUCUGGGCCUGUAUGGCACGUCAGACCGGCUGACUCUAGCCAAGGAGGGCAGCCCCUUUUUGAC
rnacentral:misc_RNA from 1 species